UACGGAGGGGGCCAGCGUCGUUCGGAAUCAUUGGGCGUAAAGGGCGCGUAGGCGGCCGCACAAGUCGGACGUGAAAUCCCCCGGCUCAACCGGGGGACUGCGUCCGAUACUGUGUGGCUCGAGUCCUGGAGAGGGUGGCGGAAUUCCCAGUGUAGCGGUGAAAUGCGUAGAUACUGGGAGGAACACCGGUGGCGAGGGCGGCCACCUGGACAGGUACUGACGCUAAAGCGCGAAAGCGUGGGGAGCAAACAGG
rnacentral:rRNA from 1 species